rnacentral:rRNA from 1 species
UACGGAAGGCAGCGAGUGGGGAAUAUUGCACAAAUGGGCGCAAGCCUGAUGCAGCCAUGCCGCGUGUAUGAAGAAAGGCCUUCGGGUUUGUAAAGUACUUUCAGUCGUGAGGAAGGUGUUAAGGUUAAUAACCUUAGCAAUUGACGUUAGCGACAGAAGAAGCACCGGCUAACUCCGUGCCAGCAGCCGCGGUAAUACGGAGGGUGCGAGCGUUAAUCGGAAUUACUGGGCGUAAAAGGGCACGCAGGCGGUUAAUUAAGUUGGAUGUGAAAUCCCCGGGCUUAACCUGGGAAUGGCAUUCAAGACUGGUUAGCUAGAGUCUUGUAGAGGGGGUAGAAUUCCAUGUGUAGCGGUGAAAUGCGUAGAGAUGUGGAGGAAUACCGGUGGCGAAGGCGGCCCCCUGGGACAAAGGACUGACGCUCAUGUGCGAAAGCGUGGGGAGCAAACAGGAUUAGAUACC